rnacentral:miRNA from 1 species
CACGGUAGCUUGCUCACUUAGA